AUUCAUAUAGCUUAAGAUUUAAAGCAUGAUAUUGAAGAUAUCAGGAUAAGUUAAACUUUUUGAAUA
rnacentral:tRNA from 1 species